UACGUAGGGUGCAAGCGUUAAUCGGAAUUACUGGGCGUAAAGCGUGCGCAGGCGGUUGUGCAAGACCGAUGUGAAAUCCCCGGGCUUAACCUGGGAACUGCAUUGGUGACUGCACGGCUAGAGUGUGUCAGAGGGGGGUAGAAUUCCACGUGUAGCAGUGAAAUGCGUAGAUAUGUGGAGGAAUACCGAUGGCGAAGGCAGCCCCCUGGGAUAACACUGACGCUCAUGCACGAAAGCGUGGGGAGCAAACAGG
rnacentral:rRNA from 1 species